rnacentral:rRNA from 1 species
UAAAGCGUGCGCAGGCGGUUUUGUAAGACUGUCGUGAAAUCCCCGGGCUCAACCUGGGAAUGGCGAUGGUGACUGCAAGGCUAGAGUUUGGCAGAGGGGGUAGAAUUCCACGUGUAGCAGUGAAAUGCGUAGAUAUGUGGAGGAACACCGAUGGCGAAGGCAGCCCCCUGGGUCAAAACUGACGCUCAUGCACGAAAGCGUGGGGAGCAAACAGGAUUAGAUACCCUAGU